rnacentral:rRNA from 1 species
ACCUACGGGGCGCAGCAGUGAGGAAUAUUGGUCAAUGGGCGGAAGCCUGAACCAGCCAAGUCGCGUGAGGGAAUAAGGCCCUACGGGUCGUAAACCUCUUUUGCCGGGGAGCAAGGGCCGGGACGAGUCCCGGUCCGAAGAGUACCCGGAGAAAAAGCAUCGGCUAACUCCGUGCCAGCAGCCGCGGUAAUACGUAGGAUCCGAGCGUUAUCCGGACUUAUUGGGUUUAAAGGGAGCGUAGAUGGGUUGUUAAGUCAGUUGUGAAAGGUUGCGGCUCAACCGUAAAAUUGCAAUUGAUACUGGCG